UCGAGCGGUAAGGCCCUUCGGGGUACACGAGCGGCGAACGGGUGAGUAACACGUGAGCAACCUGCCCCUGACUCCGGGAUAAGCGGUGGAAACGCCGUCUAAUACCGGAUACGACCCGCCACCUCAUGGUGGAGGGUGGAAAGUUUUAUCGGUCAGGGAUGGGCUCGCGGCCUAUCAGCUUGUUGGUGGGGUAACGGCCUACCAAGGCGAUUACGGGUAGCCGGCCUGAGAGGGCGACCGGCCACACUGGGACUGAGACACGGCCCAGACUCCUGCGGGAGGCAGCAGUGGGGAAUAUUGCACAAUGGGCGAAAGCCUGAUGCAGCGACGCCGCGUGGGGGAUGACGGCCUUCGGGUUGUAAACCUCUUUUACCACCAACGCAGGCUCCACGUUCUCGUGGGG
rnacentral:rRNA from 1 species